rnacentral:rRNA from 1 species
UCCGUAGGUGAACCUGCGGAAGGAUCAUUAAUGAGUUAGGGUCUUCUAGGCCCGACCUCCCAACCCUUUGUUUACUAGACCUCAGUUGCUUCGGCAGGCCCGUCUUAAUCUGACCGCUGGAGGACCGCUUAAUGCGGGCGUUGCCUCUGGCCAGUGUCUGCCGACAGCCUAAUCUCCUAACUCUGGAUCAAUCAUGAUUUACAAUGUCUAAGUGAUUUUAUUCAAUUAAAAGCAAAAACUUUCAACAACGGAUCUCUUGGUUCUGGCAUCGAUGAAGAACGCAGCGAAAUGCGAUAAGUAAUGCGAAUUGCAGAAUUCCAGUGAGUCAUCGAAUCUUUGAACGCACAUUGCGCCCUUUGGUAUUCCGAAGGGCAUGCCUGUUCGAGCGUCAUUAUCACCCCCUCAAGCCCCUGUGCUUGGUGUUGGACGGCUUGGUGGAGUAAGUUCACGCUUUCCACCCCUCCUAAAGACAAUGACGGCGGCCUGCGGAGCCCCCGGUACACUGAGCUUCUUAACUGAGCACGUAUCGGAUGAAGGGCGCCCGGGACCCGGUCUUCUCCCUCACGGGAACACGUUUUUUUCUAAGGUUGACCUCGGAUCAGGUAGGAAUACGCGCUGAACUUAAGCAUAUCAAUAAGCGGAGGA